GAAUAUUGGACAAUGGGGGGAACCCUGAUCCAGCCAUGCCGCGUGUGUGAAGAAGGCCUUUUGGUUGUAAAGCACUUUAAGCGAGGCGGCGGCUACUCUAGUUAAUACCUAGGGAUAGUGGACGUUACUCGCAGAAUAAGCCCCGGCUAACUCGUUGCACGCCGCCGCGGUAAUACAGGGGGUGCAAGCGUUAAUCGGAUUUACUGGGCGUAAAGCGCGCGUAGGUGGCCAAUUAGGUCAAAUGUGAAAUCCCCGAGCUUAACUUGGGAAGUGCAUUCGAUACUGGUUGGCUAGAGUAUGGGAGAGGAUGGUAGAAUUCCAGGUGUAGCGGUGAAAUGCGUAGAGAUCUGGAGGAAUACCGAUGGCGAAGGCAGCCAUCUGGCCUAAUACUGACACUGAGGUGCGAAAGCAUGGGGAGCAAACA
rnacentral:rRNA from 1 species